rnacentral:rRNA from 1 species
CCUACGGGAGGCAGCAGUGGGGAAUAUUGGACAAUGGGGGGAACCCUGAUCCAGCCAUGCCGCGUGUGUGAAGAAGGCCCUCGGGUUGUAAAGCACUUUCAGUGAGGAAGAACGCCUGGUGGUUAAUACCCAUCAGGAAAGACAUCACUCACAGAAGAAGCACCGGCUAACUCCGUGCCAGCAGCCGCGGUAAUACGGAGGGUGCGAGCGUUAAUCGGAAUUACUGGGCGUAAAGCGCGCGUAGGUGGCUUGAUAAGCCGGUUGUGAAAGCCCCGGGCUCAACCUGGGAACGACAUCCGGAACUGUCAAGCUAGAGUGCAGGAGAGGAAGGUAGAAUUCCCGGGGUAGCGGUGAAAUGCGUAGAGAUCGGGAGGAAUACCAGUGGCGAAGGCGGCCUUCUGGACUGACACUGACACUGAGGUGCGAAAGCGUGGGUAGCAAACAGGAUUAGAUACCCGGGUAGUC